rnacentral:lncRNA from 1 species
GGGCACUGGCUAGAGGCGUUAUAAGGGUGCUCGACGGGAUGUGUUUCGGAGCAUGUAUCAUGUAAGGCCUACCUGGGUAGCGUCCCGAGGUCAAUUCAACUUGUCUGAGUUACGUCCUCAGGGCAAGUGCAAUAGGAGAAAUGGAUCCGUCGGUGGCUAAAAGGUCCGGGAUCACAACGAGUAACGGAAAGGGAGUGUGACAUGUGCG